GGGAGUUUGGCCGAGUGGUUAAGGCGUCGUGUUUAGGUUGUGCCUGUAGCAAGGUAAACCGUGAAUCCAUUUCCGCGAUGGGAAACCGCGCAGGUUCGAAUCCUGCAGCUCUCA